GUGUAGGUGAUUAUGUAGGGGGCUCUGGUCAGGCCUGGAAAUGGCACAUAUCAUGUUUGCCCACACCCCAUUGGCCAGAUCACAGUCACAUGACCCUGGCCUAACUGCAAAGGGGGGAAAAAAGUAGUUUUCCUGUGCGUCCAGGAAGAGGAAAUGAGAUUGGUGAGCACCAGGCCAGUUUCUGCCACAUCCUGGUUAAAACCUACUCAUCUUUAAAGAAUCAGCUAAAAUAAUACUUCCUUAUUAAGGCCUUCAAGUUCCUCCAACCUAAAUUAGACUGUAGGCUCUAUGAGAGCAAGAAGGAUUGCAUCUGUUUGACUUCCACUGUUGCUAUCAUCUAUCACACUACUUGGUAUAUAAUUGGUGUAAAAGUCGUUGAAGGAACAAAUGAAAAAUUAUGCACAGUCAUUCCGUGGCUCCAGCUAGCACACUUCUUGUGGAGGAGAAAGUCAAGUCUACUGCCAGAAAUUACGCCGCCAUAAAUUCUGUGAAAAUCAAAAAAGGGAAACCUCACUAAAGUGGAGUCAGGAGGCAAAAAGGGGGACCUAUCACUCCAGAGCAAUUACAUUACAAGAAGAAAUUGGCAAAUAUAGAUUUCAAUAGGCUAAUAGUCAAAAGGAAAGAAUGAUCAAUUAUAGGAUCCAACAGGGAAAGACAUACAUUGAUUUCAUCUCCUACAAGAAAUCAACGAUCCCUACAACUCAGCCAAUGAGAAACCAACAUCACCCUGAACUCUUGCUUUUCUCCAAUGGACUUUCCUUCAAAACAACCCCUGCCAACAUCCUCCUUCUCCACUAAAAAAUUUCUCUCCUUUGUUUAGUGGACUUGUCUAUGAUUUUUUCAUAGCUUGCACCUCCCAAGUUGCAAUUCUCGGAUAUUCCUAAAUAAACCCAUUUUGUUGGUAAAAUAAA